rnacentral:misc_RNA from 1 species
UUUGCAAACCAAGGACUUUAAACUCUCUCCGUGUUGCAAACAAAUGUAAACUAAGUAAUGUUAUUUAACUGUAAUGUAAAAUAUAAUGUUAUAGAUGCAGAAAUUUUACACCUCAUGUUUCAGACUAAAUUGUUGCGCCCGUGUUUUGAUUUUAAUUCUUCUGUGCAACAGAACUAUAUACAAAUGUUAGGCUACUUAUUUAAUUAUAUUAAUUACAAAUUUGGGGGCCGCUGAAAGAAGGAAUGUAUCAAGUUUCUUAAUGUAUUGAACCCCCCCUUUUUUUAACGAAUUCCGUGCUUCCUAAUACAGUAAUUAUAUUAGAACUGUUACUAUAAAAGCAGCAUUGGAGUCAGUAAAGUAUGAGAGUGGACAGAAACUUUCAUGUUUGAUGAUAUUUUAUAUCUUGAACGAAAUUAUGGCUUUAAAAAUUAUUGGUACUGUGGGACAAUUAAGUUUAUCAUAUGAGGAAUUAAUAUCUUUGAAAACAGAAGUAACUGAACUUGGAAACAGAUUGUAUGAACUAUAUAUAUAUUUCUUUGGUAGUCAUAAAAUUUUUUAUUGCAAAUUUAUUACAGAAGAAUCGCACGUUUCUACUAAAAGUGAUGAGGUAGUUCAUAACAAAACGAUUAAGCAGCUUGUUGGGAAAAAAGAGAUCUCCUCUAAAGUCUGUUUAUGGAAAGUAUUACAUUUACCAUUUGAUCUGUCUGAAAUAGUGCAAUCUGGAAAAUGUUUAUGGGCUAUAAGUUCUGAUAGUUAUGCAGAUGUGAAACCUUAUUUUCAAAAUGUCUUGAAGUUUAACGAAGUCAGUUCAGGAGAGGAUAAUUUGAUGGUCAUUGACUGUAAUGAUGAAUUUGUGAAAGAUAAUUUUGAAUGUUUUAUAAAAAUUCCUGAUGUGGAAAAAUUUGCAAUACAUAAAGAGAGUUUUACUCUGAAAUAUAAUUUAAUAGACAAUAGUGUAAUCUUCUGCUACAAGAAUUUGGAAGUUAAGUCCUGGGACUUGGAACUCUUGGUACCAGUUUAUCAUACUGAUUCAUUAAAAUUAUUAAAAUUUAAGUCUGUGCCUAUUUUAAAAAUACCAUUGCAUUUUAAUGAAGAGCUUUUUUCUGCUGCUGCUGCACAAGAUGCAACAGAGAUACCCAAACCAGUGAUAACUCUUAUAAAUGUUGAUAAUAGCAGCAGUGAAGAAUCUCAGCUUUCUACAAAGAAAUUUUUAUACCAUUUGUUUAGUAUUGACUGUUCAUCAUCAUCUAAUUCUGUUUUUUUAUUUGGUUAUCAGUCUGGCAAAGUUUUAUGGUCUGUAUGUUCAUGGUCUUCUCAUGAACAAAAAUUUAAGACUAUUACUGAAUUACAAAUUUUAUGUGACAUGAAACAGCCUGUCAUAGCUAUUCAUUUCUUUGAGAAAUUAGGAGAGAUAAAAGGUAGUUGCAGUCUGCUACUUGUUGGGGCACUAGGAAAAAUAGUUAUCAUCACUACUGAAAAUGUGUUCAGCAAUUCGCAUGCAUAUGAAGGCCAAGCUUUACAAUAUUGGACUGUAACUUUGUAUUUACAUUCUCCUGUUCAGCACCAUAUAAUACUGAAUGACUGUAUACUUCAUUCUUCAGAAAAAGGACAUUUGUGGGUUACUGUAUUUUCAGAAGAAAGAAAAACUUCAAAAGGUGUGACAGAGAAUAAUUUAAAGAUCAUUUCUAAAGCUGCAGAUUUAUAUGGAAUCAUACAAGUUACUAUAAUAAAUAAGCAUGCAGGUCUCAUUCUUGUAGUAACUGCGGCAGGAAAUUUGUAUUUAGCCCAGUAUAUAAAAUCAGUAAACACUUAUAAUGCUUCUGUAGCCUUACCAUCACUUAUGAAUGAAGGCUUGCAUCAGAGUGCAGUCAUGCAGCAUCUGCUAACAAUUAAGUACCAACAAGGCAAAUUUUUUUCUGCUUUAUGCACAUUUGCAGCACUAAAAUUUAAAAGUAUUCCUAGGGUAAAAUUGAGUUGCUCAAUAACUAAAAUUGAUGUUCAACCCCAAAAAUUUUUCCUGGAAAUAAAUCUCAAAGGUUUUGGAAAACUUAACCUUGAUUCUGAUUUGUGGUUCGUGACGAUAUCAUUAUGUAGCUAUUUUCAGGAUAAUCACACUGUUAUUUCUAAAACUGCUCAAUUGAUUCCAGGGAAAUCAAUUUUGACUGUAGAAGUGUUGAAUUCACAACUUUGUUCAGCAUCUGUAAAUGAAUUUCCUUUAUUUGUUGAAGUGGGCUUGAUUUUAAAUUUACCUUCAGACUGGAGAACGUUAGAAUGUUUCAAACUGUUCACAAAGAUGUUGCCUCUCUAUCUUUGCAUGCAAACAGUCAUAGUUCAUGAGCUGUAUCUAUUAAAAUGGAUUCAAAAGCCACUUGCUACUUAUUCUGAUAGCCAUCAUUCCCACGAACUAUUAAAUAAUGUGUUAGCAAAAAUUCGAGGUCUUUUUAUGAAUAAACCUAUUUCAAAUGUAUUAAAGCCAAACUGUGUGCUUACUGAUAUUCCUCAACAAUUUACUUUCAUUUUAUCAGUCUCUACUAUGCAGGACAUAGCAAAGAAUUCAUUAAAAGGCUGUGAUCUUACACAUUAUGUAUAUCAGCUUUUAUUACAAAAAAGUAAUAUUAAAGAUUUUAAUGAGGAUGCUCAUUUAACUUGUAAAGGUAGUCCAUUAUCAUUUUCUAUUGCACAACAAGGUGAUAUUAUUCAAAUAGCGGUUACUACAAAAUGUGUGGAUGUACUUUUGGGAUCAAGAAUAGCCAUUAUGGAAACACUUUUGACACACCAGAAUUUAUCUGGCAUUCCAGCUUCCAAAUUCAUAAGCAUAUCAGCUAGUCUUCACAGAAAAUGUGAGUGCCACUUCUGGAAGCUUCCUUUGCAUCAAGUUUUUUAAAGCAUCUUUUCAAACAGCAAAGUGAAGAGAAGAGGGAAAAAAAGUUGAUAAUCCAGAUAAUGAAUUAUCAAAAAUAAUCACAAGCAUAUAUGGUAAUGAUGUGGAGCCUGCUCAAUUCACAAUGAAAAUUCUGAAAUUAUAUCAAACAUUAAGAAAAGAGUUAUCUGAAAAAUUACAACUGCUAUAA